rnacentral:lncRNA from 13 species
AUGUCCCUCUGCAGGGCUGCCUCGCAGGCGCUGGCCUCCCGCCUGAGCAGGGCUCCCGCGGCCGCCAGCCGCCUCAAGCAGCGUGCACCUCCUCGCCAGAUGUCAUCUGGGAGUGUUCCUGGUUCUUCUGGAGACAGCAUGAUGAUCUAUCUCCUUGCUGGUGUUGCUGCUUUUGGUGGUUUAUUUUAUGCCUACAGAGUAGUCAGUUCAUCCCGUAGCAAGUUUAUUGAGCAUACGAAUAUUCUUCGCGAGAGAGCCGAGGGGCGGAAAAGCAAUCCUUGGUCAAGGAAGGAAGGUGAUGAAGAAGAGAUGGAUGAAGUCACUGAAGCAGAGAAGGCCAUGGAAGAGGCUGAUGCAGCAGCUGCUGUUGAGCCUGCAGCACAGGAUGAGAGUGCUGGGGUAUCCCCAGAAGAUAGAGGGGAGAAUGACUUACUGAGUCCAGAGGUAUCCCAUCCUGUGGAGGAAGCACAGCAGGGGGCUGCUGCUAAUUUGGAACUUGCUGCUAAUUCAGAAGCUGCUGCAGUGCAAGAAACUGUGAGUGAAGUCUUGGAUGUUGCAGCUUCUUCUGCCCAUGAGGAAAACUUAGACAGUGAUAAGGAAGCAGUAGCCUCAGCAGCUCAAGAGAUUUCUGACACAGACUCAAAGAGCCAGGACACUGAUGCUGAGGAGUCAUGGCAAACUUCAGAAGUUUCUGAGGAGGAGAAGACAACUGAAGAAGUUGCUUAAGAUCCCUAAAGUAAGCAGUGCGGAAGCCUUUGGAAAGUUUAAUGCAAAUAUUUGUGGCAAUCAACCAGCUGAUUCCUGUGUGAAACCUCAUACUCUUCCUUGGAGACAUAAAAGAAACUGUACAGUCUGCCCUAUCACACACCGGUCAUUAGG